UACGGAGGAUCCGAGCGUUAUCCGGAUUUAUUGGGUUUAAAGGGUGCGUAGGCGGCCUUGUAGGUCAGGGGUGAAAGACGGUAGCUUAACUAUCGCAGUGCCUUUGAUACUGCAGGGCUUGAAUGUACUUGAGGUAGGCGGAAUGUGACAAGUAGCGGUGAAAUGCAUAGAUAUGUCACAGAACACCAAUUGCGAAGGCAGCUUACUAAAGUAUGAUUGACGCUGAGGCACGAAAGCGUGGGGAUCAACAGG
rnacentral:rRNA from 1 species